UCCAAGUUUAGGGCUUCAUCAUACCUUGU
rnacentral:piRNA from 2 species